rnacentral:rRNA from 1 species
AACGCGUAGGUAAUCUAUCCUUACAUUUGGGAUAACAUUGGGAAACUGGUGCUAAUACCGAAUGGUCUUCAUUGCUUUGGGGCGAUGGAGUAAAGGUGGCCUCUUCAUGAAAGCUACCGUGUAGGGAUGAGCCUGCGUACCGUUAGCUAGUAGGUGGGGUAAUGGCCCACCUAGGCUACGAUGGUUAGCGGGUCUGAGAGGAUGAUCCGCCACACUGGAACUGAAACACGGACCAG